rnacentral:SRP_RNA from 1 species
GCCGGGCGCGGUGGCGGGCGCCUGUAGUCCCAGCUACUCGGGAGGCUGAGGCAGGAGAAUGGCAUGAACCCGGGAGGCAGAGCUUGCAGUGAGCGGAGAUCGUGCCACUGCAUUCCAGCCUGGGUGACAGAGCCAGAUUCUGUCUCAA